GAGCUUGCUCCCGGAUGUUAGCGGCGGACGGGUGAGUAACACGUGGGUAACCUGCCUGUAAGACUGGGAUAACUCCGGGAAACCGGAGCUAAUACCGGAUAGUUCCUUGAACCGCAUGGUUCAAGGAUGAAAGACGGUUUCGGCUGUCACUUACAGAUGGACCCGCGGCGCAUUAGCUAGUUGGUGGGGUAAUGGCUCACCAAGGCGACGAUGCGUACCCGACCUGAGAGGGUGAUCGGCCACACUGGGACUGAGACACGGCCCAGACUCCUACGGGAGGCAGCAGUAGGGAAUCUUCCGCAAUGGACGAAAGUCUGACGGAGCAACGCCGCGUGAGUGAUGAAGGUUUUCGGAUCGUAAAGCUCUGUUGUUAGGGAAGAACAAGUGCGAGAGUAACUGCUCGCACCUUGACGGUACCUAACCAGAAAGCCACGGCUAACUACGUGCCAGCAGCCGCGGUAAUACGUAGGUGGCAAGCGUUGUCCGGAAUUAUUGGGCGUAAAGGGCUCGCAGGCGGUUUCUUAAGUCUGAUGUGAAAGCCCCCGGCUCAACCGGGGAGGGUCAUUGGAAACUGGGAAACUUGAGUGCAGAAGAGGAGAGUGGAAUUCCACGUGUAGCGGUGAAAUGCGUAGAGAUGUGGAGGAACACCAGUGGCGAAGGCGACUCUCUGGUCUGUAACUGACGCUGAGGAGCGAAAGCGUGGAGAGCGAACAGGAUUAUAUACCCUGGUAGUCCACGCCGUAAACGAUGAGUGCUAAGUGUUAGGGGGUUUCCGCCCCUUAGUGCUGCAGCUAACGCAUUAAGCACUCCGCCUGGGG
rnacentral:rRNA from 1 species